rnacentral:rRNA from 1 species
ACGGAGGGUGCAAACGUUGUUCGGAAUCACUGGGCAUAAAGAGCACGUAGGCGGCGCUCUAAGUCAGAUGUGAAAUCCCCCGGCUCAACCGGGGAACUGCACCUGAUACUGGAGCGCUCGAGGACGGUAGGGGUGAGUGGAACUCCAGGUGGAGCGGUGAAAUGCGUAGAUAUCUGGAGGAACACCGGUGGCGAAAGCGGCUCACUGGACCGUCUCUGACGCUGAGGUGCGAAAGCUAGGGUAGCAAACGGG